GAAAGCGGUGCUAAUACCGGAUAUCGUUUCAUGAACUCAGGUUUUUGAAAUGAAAGGUGACCUCUCCAUGGAAGUUGCUGUUCAAGGAGGGGCCCGCGUCCCAUUAGCUUGUUGGUGGGGUAAUGGCCUACCAAGGCUGUGAUGGGUAGCUGGUCUGAGAGGAUGAUCAGCCACACUGGCACUGAAACACGGGCCAGACUCCUACGGGAGGCAGCAGUGAGGAAUUUUGCACAAUGGGGGAAACCCUGAUGCAGCAACGCCGCGUGAGUGAAGAAGGCUUUCGGGUCGUAAAGCUCUGUCAAGUGGGAAAAACGUCUUCUGAUUAAUAGUCAGAAGAUCUGAUGGUACCACUGGAGGAAGCACCGGCUAACUCCGUGCCAGCAGCCGCGGUAAUACGGAGGGUGCAAGCGUUGUUCGGAAUUACUGGGCGUAAAGAGCGUGUAGGCGGCUUGGUCAGUCAGAUGUGAAAGCCCUGGGCUUAACCCAGGAAGUGCAUUUGAUACUGCCAA
rnacentral:rRNA from 1 species